rnacentral:rRNA from 1 species
CAAUAGCGUAUAUUAAAGUUGUUGCAGUUAAAAGCUCGUAGUUGGACCUCUGGGAGGGACCCAUGUCCGCCGUGUGCGUGCGCAGCGGGCCGCUUCCAUCCUUCUGUUAACGUUUCUCGGUAUUCGCUUACUGGUUUCGGGCUCAGAUAUUUUACCUUGAGAAAAUUAGAGUGUUUCAGGCAGGCUUGCGCCGGAAUACAUUAGCAUGGAAUAAUGGAAUAGGACUACGGUCUCUUUGUUGGUUUGAGGGACUGCAGUAAUGAUUAAUAGGGAUAGUUGGGGGCAUUAGUACUUAACUGUCAGAGGUGGAAUUCUCAGAUUUGUUAAAGACUGACUUAUGCGAAAGCAUUUGCCAAGGAUGUUUUCAUUAAUCAAGAACGAAAGUUAGGGGAUCGAAGACGAUCAGAUACC